CAGUAGCCGCGGUAAUACGGAGGGAGCUAGCGUUGUUCGGAAUUACUGGGCGUAAAGCGCACGUAGGCGGUUAUUCAAGUCAGAGGUGAAAGCCCGGGGCUCAACCCCGGAACUGCCUUCGAAACUAGAUGACUGGAAUCUUGGAGAGGUCAGUGGAAUUCCGAGUGUAGAGGUGAAAUUCGUAGAUAUUCGGAAGAACACCAGUGGCGAAGGCGACUGACUGGACAAGUAUUGACGCUGAGGUGCGAAAGCGUGGGGAGCAAACAGGAUUAGAUACCCGGGUAGUCCCUGUCUCUUAUAC
rnacentral:rRNA from 1 species